rnacentral:rRNA from 1 species
UACGUAGGGGGCGAGCGUUGUCCGGAAUUAUUGGGCGUAAAGAGCUCGUAGGCGGCUUAGUAAGUCGGCGGUGAAAUACCGAGGCUCAACCUCGGCACUGCCGUCGAUACUGCUUGGCUAGAGUCUUGGAGAGGAAGGCGGAAUGCUUGGUGUAGAGGUGCAAUUCGUAGAUAUCAAGCGGAACACCGGUGGCGAAGGCGGCCUUCUGGACAAUGACUGACGCUAAAACACGAAAGCGUGGGGAGCAAACAGG